rnacentral:rRNA from 1 species
AGAAUCAACGCUGGCGGCGUGCCUAACACAUGCAAGUCGAACGAGAAAGUGGGAGCAAUCCCACGAGUAAAGUGGCGCACGGGUGAGUAACACGUGACUAACCUACCCUUGAGUGGGGGAUAACCUAGGGAAACCUGGGCUAAUACCGCAUAAUACCUACGGGUCAAAGGAGCAAUUCGCUUAAGGAGGGGUCGCGGCAGAUUAGUUAGUUGGCGGGGUAAUGGCCCACCAAGACAGUGAUCUGUA